CCUUUGACAACUCUAGAGAUAGAGUCUUCCCCUUCGGGGGACAAAGUGACAGGUGGUGCAUGGUUGUCGUCAGCUCGUGUCGUGAGAUGUUGGGUUAAGUCCCGCAACGAGCGCAACCCUUAAGCUUAGUUGCCAGCAUUAAGUUGGGCACUCUAAGUUGACUGCCGGUGACAAACCGGAGGAAGGUGGGGAUGACGUCAAAUCAUCAUGCCCCUUAUGAUUUGGGCUACACACGUGCUACAAUGGACAAUACAAAGGGCAGCUAAACCGUGAGGUCAUGCAAAUCCCAUAAAGUUGUUCUCAGUUCGGAUUGUAGUCUGCAACUCGACUACAUGAAGCUGGAAUCGCUAGUAAUCGUAGAUCAGCAUGCUACGGUGAAUACGUUCCCGGGUCUUGUACACACCGCCCGUCACACCACGAGAGUCUGUAACACCCGAAGCCGGUGGAGUAACCAUUUAUGGAGCUAGCCGUCGAAGGUGGGACAAAUGAUUGGGGUGAAGUCGUAACAAGGUAGCCGUAUCGGAAGGU
rnacentral:rRNA from 1 species